GGAGGUUGGGUUGUGUCUAAAGACAUUGUGGUGUAGAGGAUGGGUUGUGUCUAAAGACAUUGUGGUGUGGAGGUUGGGUUGUGUCUCAAGACAUUGUGGUGUGGAGGUUGGGUUGUGUCUCAAGACAUUGUGGUGUGGAGGUUGGGUUGUGUCUCAAGACAUUGUGGUGUGGAGGUUGGGUUGUGUCUCAAGACAUUGUGGUGUGGAGGUUGGGUUGUGUCUCAAGACAUUGUGGUGUGGAGGUUGGGUUGUGUCUCAAGACAUUGUGGUGUGGAGGUUGGGUUGUGUCUCAAGACAUUGUGGUGUGGAGGUUGGGUUGUCUAAAGACAUUGUGGUGUGGAGGUUGGGUUGUGUCUCAAGACAUUGUGGUGUGGAGGUUGGGUUGUCUAAAGAGGACCACAAUGGAAAUAGAAAUAGGCCUACGACUUAUGUGUGUGUCCAUUUUGAUUUUUAAUGCAUUUGGUUGAUUGUGAUUAUAGCCAGCUGAGCCUGUGGGCAGACAGAUGAGAGAGGAUGUAACUGGAUCAAGGCAGUGACUGACUCCUGUAGUACAGCCACAGCAGGCCUCUGGGGCGGGAAGCGCCUGUGUCCCCUCUGAAACAUGACGACUACACCAGCAGGGAGGUCAAAGGGAAGCUGACCCCAAAGACAGAGCUCAUCUACAUACAGUCUCUCACAUUCAGCCUGGGGACAAAUUAGAUUGGCCCAUGUUUGCAUGAAUUUUGUACCAUGCUGGCAGGAAAAAUGAUGUUUUCCUCCUAAAAUUGAGAGAACACAGCUAGACACCAAAUCAAUUGC